rnacentral:rRNA from 1 species
UACGUAGGGUGCAAGCGUUAAUCGGAAUUACUGGGCGUAAAGCGUGCGCAGGCGGUUUUUGUAAGCCAGAUGUGAAAAUCCCCCGGGCUCAACCUGGGAAUGGCAUUUUGGGGACUGCAAGGCUGGAGUGCGGCAGAGGAGACUGGAAUUCCAGGUGUAGCGGUGAAAAUGCGUAGAUAUCUGGAGGAAUACCGGUGGCGAAGGCGGCAUCCUGGACCGGCAUUGACGCUGAGGAGCGAAAAGCCAGGGGAGCAAAGCGGGAUUAA